ACCCGCUGAACUUAAGCAUAUCACUAAGCGGAGGAAAAGAAAAUAACUAUGAUUGCCCUAGUAACGGCGAGUGAAGCGGCAAGAGCCCAUACUGAAAAUCUUCGUUCUUUCGGACGACGAAUUGUAAAGUAAAGGGGCGAUGCUUACCGGGAUUUGACGCAGAAGUGCCUUAGAAUGGGCCGCCAUAGAGGGUGACAGCCCCGUAUGUGGUGUCAAGUUCUACCGAGCGUCGUUUCGAUGAGUCGGGUUGUUUUGAAUUGCAGCCCUAAGUGGGAGAUAAACUUCUUCUAAGGCUAAAUACAUAUGGGAAACCGAUAGCGAACAAGUACUGUGAAGGAAAGAUGAAAAGAACUUUGAAAAGAGAGUCAAAAGACUUGAAAUCGUUGAGGAGGAAGCGGUAGAAAUUUAUUCUUCGGCGGAGGACGGUGGCGUCUGUCUAACCAUUGUACGUUGCAGUACUUCAACCGGCUGUUUCGUGCGCUUGGGGAAAUGGGCGUUUUGGACUUCGUUGUAAGGCAAAAUGGGGUCGUGCUUCCGCAUAAGCUUCUCAGAUCUGGCUUGAUUCGUCUUGCAAUCUGGGUGUGCUGGUGGGCGUAUGGCCUGAGGGUGCUUUGUGCGAUUUUGCCAAAAUGGUUUUUACCGACCCGUCUUGAAACACGGACCAAGGAGUCUAACAUAUAUGCGAGUGUGCUGGUGGAGAAACCAACACGCAUAAUGAAAGUAAUUGAUGCCAAGCUUGUGCAGCAUCGACCGACCAUGAUCCUCUGGAGAAAGGUUUGCGUAUGAGCAUAUCUGUUAGGACCCGAAAGAUGGUGAACUAUGCCUGAGUAGGGUGAAGCCAGGGGAAACUCUGGUGGAAGCUCGUAGCGAUACUGACGUGCAAAUCGUUCGUCGAACUUUGGUAUAGGGGCGAAAGACUAAUCGAACCAUCUAGUAGCUGGUUCCUCCCGAAGUUUCCCUCAGGAUAGCUGGGACAAUAACGCAGUUUUAUUAGGUAAAGCGAAUGAUUAGAGGCAUCUGGGGGAAUUUCUCCUAGACCUAUUCUCAAACUUUAAAUUGGUAAGAACCCUGGCCUUUCUUAAUUGAGGCACAGGGGCUCAAUGCGUGUCCUUAGUGGGCCAUUUUUGGUAAGCAGAACUGGCGAUGAGGGAUGCUCCUAACGUCGAGUUAAGGUGCUCAACUGCACGCUCAUCAGACACCACAAAGGGUGUUGGUUCAUAUAGACAGCAGGACGGUGGCCAUGGAAGUCGGAACCCGCUAAGGAGUGUGUAACAACUCACCUGCCGAAUGAACUAGCCCCGAAAAUGGAUGGCGCUAAAGCGUGCGACCGAUACUCGACCAUUGUUGCGAGAGUGAGGCAGCAAUGAGUAGGGGGGCGUGAGCGUUGUUGCGAAGCUUUUGACGUGAGUCUGAGUUGAACAGCGCUUAGUGCAGAUCUUGGUGGUAGUAGCAAUUAUUCAAAUGAGAACUUUGAAGGCCGAAGUGGAGAAGGUUUCCGUGAGAACAGCAAUUGGUCACGGGUGACUCGAUCCUAAGACAUGGGAUAAUUCCUUGUUAAGUGCGCCUUCUGGCGCGUAGUCGAAAGGGAAUGAGGUUAAUAUUCCUCAAGCUGGAUGUGGAUAUUGUAUGGUAACAUAAAUGAGCUCAGAGACGCCAGCGUGAGCCUCUGGAAGAGUUCUCUUUUCUUUUUAACAGACUAACGACCUUGAAUGGAUUACCCAGAGCUAAGGUUGUACGUUUGGAAGAGCACCUUGCUCUUCGAGGUGUCAGGUGCGCUCACGAUGGUCCAUGAAAAUCUGAGUGAGAGUUCUAUUUCACACCAGGUCGUACCCAUAACCGC
rnacentral:rRNA from 1 species